rnacentral:lncRNA from 1 species
CUUUCCAGGUUUUACCCUGGUAGGAUCCAGACCACCCUGGCCUUGACAAACAGUUUGGGAUAAUGGAAAUAGCCACUAUGUAGUCAAAAUGUUUUUGUGCCAGUCAUGAAAGGCAAGAAUUUUUACACACAAGGACAGCAAGUGAAUACUGUUCAUGCGCAGAAGCCUCCAAAUACAUAAAGCUGAUUUUCUUAUUGGUCUCAGUCUGUGCUGUGCAAAUGGUUUGGAGCUGAGUGAACACAGUGUAGCUGAUAAAUCAAGUGGCUUUUGGUAAUGUCCUCUCUGCACAUCAGUAAGCCUCACGCCAGGCUCAGGGGACUCCUGCUUGCUGACCACCACCACGCACUGUCGCUGGGCACAGCUAUUCAAACAAAAAUACUCUGUUUGUACUUGCAGGUACUGAGUGUAUUAAACCAGCCUUUCCAGAUGUACUACUUCUUGGUGUCCAUCAAUACAUCCCAUCCUGCACCGUGGGAGUUCUGCCCAGUGGACCCAGAAGCACGGUAACCCAGAGGACUCCCAGGUGACUUUGAUUCUGCCAUCAGUUCUAGCACCUCCAAAACUUCUUGUUUGUCCUUCCUAGACUUUCAUAACUUACAUGUGAGCAGUUCAUCAUGGAGAAUUAAAGGCUCAUUGUCGUGGAAACAGAGAGUGUAUUCUCAAUGUGCUGUCAAGGUUGCUUUCAUCAACAGGAGCAUUUGCUGAGAUUAGAACAAUUCUGUUAUUGUUAGUAUGGUUAAACCACAAUGAUUGCCAAAUGAAACUGCAGGGCUCACAAAUGAUGAGGGGGUGUGGUGGCAUAGCAGGUUUGCCUGGAUCCUGCUCUCUGGUGGGUCCGGGGUUUGAGUCCCGCUUGGGGUGCCUUGCGAUGGACUGGCGUUGCGUCCAGGGUGUGUUUCCUUCCCCUCCAGCCUUGUGCCCUGUGUUGCCGGGUUAGGCUCCAGUUUGUUGCGACCCCGCUUGGGACGAGCAGUUUCAGACAAUGUCUGGGUUCACAAAUGUAUUUGUUUUACAAAAAAAAACUGCGUAUUCAUAUAUCUGGAGUUUAGCAAGUCACAUUUAAUGCAGUGGAAGUCAUGUCGGUUUAAAAUGAAGGUCCUUCUGCUGCAGCUGAAAUGGAAUUUCAUGACUUCACACCCCAUUUUCAGGCAUAGAGUUGCACAAUUAAUGGCAGCGAGCUGUUAUUAUUUACCAAGGCUGAUAAUUAGGAGGGAGGUACAAGUGGAUUACAGUAGGUAAUUGCACGCUUUUACUCUCGCUAUUCAGCUGUGGAGCACCGUGCCGCCCCCACUGUCAAACCACUGAGUGCAGCGCUGACCCCUGUUGCCGAAAAUUAAUUCUGAAGUAUUUAUCAGACUGAAUGCUUCCCUGAAAACAUCAUCAUUUUUGUAAACUGAAGUUUGUGUUUUUUUCAGCAUUUAAUUCUCUUACAAUAGCAGACCUUUUGAACACAUUUCUUUAUUUUUUUUCUGGUUUGCAAUAACUUCUUCUGUGUCUUUGUAACCAUGAGACCAUGAGCUGAGAUCCUAAAAGCUAUUAUGUGACAUUCAAGCUGUGCAAAUGCUUUAGAAGGUUUAUAAGGUUUUUAAUAGGUAUUUUAAGUGUCACUCAGUAUGGUGAUAUUGUGUUGUAUUGAUGCUGUAGCUUAGAUAUCUAGAACAUAUUGAAAUUUGAGAGUUGUGUUCCAAAUAAUAAUUACUAAUAAAUUUUGGAUGUCUAGUUCUUUUAUGAUGGCA